UACAAAGGGAGCUAGCGUUGUUCGGAAUCACUGGGCGUAAAGCGCACGUAGGCGGAUUUGUCAGUCAGGGGUGAAAUCCCGGGGCUCAACCUCGGAACUGCCUUUGAUACAGCAAGUCUUGAGUUCGAGAGAGGUGGGUGGAAUUCCUAGUGUAGAGGUGAAAUUCGUAGAUAUCGGGAGGAACACCAGUGGCGAAGGCGACUACCUGGCCCAUUCUUGACGCUGAGGCGCGAAAGCUAGGGGAGCGAACGGG
rnacentral:rRNA from 1 species